ACGGGAGGCAGCAGUGGGGAAUAUUGCACAAUGGAGGAAACUCUGAUGCAGCGACGCCGCGUGAGCGAAGAAGUAUUUCGGUAUGUAAAGCUCUAUCAGCAGGGAAGAAAAAGGACGGUACCUGACUAAGAAGCUCCGGCUAAAUACGUGCCAGCAGCCGCGGUAAUACGUAUGGAGCAAGCGUUAUCCGGAUUUACUGGGUGUAAAGGGAGUGUAGGUGGUAGCACAAGUCAGAAGUGAAAGCCCGGGGCUCAACCCCGGGACUGCUUUUGAAACUGUGGAACUAGAGUGCAGGAGAGGUAAGUGGAAUUCCUAGUGUAGCGGUGAAAUGCGUAGAUAUUAGGAGGAACACCAGUGGCGAAGGCGGCUUACUGGACUGUAACUGACACUGAGGCUCGAAAGCGUGGGGAGCAAACAGGAUUAGAUACCCUGGUA
rnacentral:rRNA from 1 species